rnacentral:tRNA from 1 species
GAGAUACUAGUUAAAUAAUAAUAAUAAUGUCUUGUCAAGACAUAGUUACCAAA